UUUUUCGCUAAAGGAUGAGACUAUAUGGUAUCAGGUAGUUGGUGGGUAAGAGCCUACCAAGCCAAUGACGCCUAGCUGGUCUGAGAGGAUGAUCAGCCACACUGGAACUGAGACACGGUCCAG
rnacentral:rRNA from 1 species